AGAGUUUGAUCAUGGCUCAUGACGAACGCUGGCGGCGUGCCUAACACAUGCAAGUCGAGCGGAGCUAAUAGCAAUAUUAGCUUAGCGGCGGACGGGUGAGUAACGCAUGGGCAACCUGCCUCAAACAGGGGGAUAACACAGGGAAACUUGUGCUAAUACCGCAUAACAUCGUAGAUAGACAUCUAUUAGCGAUCAAAGGAGCAAUCCGGUUUGAGAUGGGCCCGCGUCCAAUUAGCUAGUUGGUGAGGUAACGGCCCACCAAGGCGACGAUUGGUAGCCGAACUGACAGGUUGAUCGGCCACAUUGGGACUGACACACGGCCCACACUCCUACGGGAGGCAGCAUUGGGGAAUAUUGCGCAAUGGGGGAAACCCUGACGCACCAACCCCCCGUGAAGGAUGAAGGUUUUCGGAUUGUAAACUUCUUUGAUGAGGGACGAAAGAAAUGACGGUACCUCAAAAACAAGCCACGGCUAACUACGUGCCAUCAACCGCGGUAAUACGUACGUGGCGAGCGUUGUCCGGAAUUACUGGGUGUAAAGGGCGUGUAGGCGGGGAGACAAGGCAGAUGUGAAAUACCGAGGCUUAACUUCCGGGCUGCAUCUGAGACUGUUUUUCUUGAGUGACGGACAGGACAGUGGAAUUCCCAGUGUACCGGUGAUAUGCGUAUAUAUUGGGAGGAACACCACUGGCGAAUGCGACUUUCUGGACCACCACUGACGCUGACGCGCGAAAGCGUGGGGAGCAAACAGGAUUAGAUAUCCUGCGACUCCACGCCGUAAACGAUGGAUACUAUGUGUAGGAGGUAUCCACUCCUUCUGUGCCGAGUGAACGCACUAAGUAUCCCACCUGUGAGUACGGGCGCACGGUUAAAACUCAAAGGAAUUGACGA
rnacentral:rRNA from 1 species